rnacentral:lncRNA from 1 species
UUCACACAAUUCAAUCAAAUUUUAUGGGUUUAACAACAACAUUUUCAUCAUUCCUACAAUUCAAUCAAAUUUCAUGGGUUUAACCGCAACAUUUUCAUCAUUCAUACAAUUAAACAUUCAUCAUUCCCACAAUUCAACAUAGAGAAGAAAACACAAAAAAUAUAUGGCACAAUCUACCCACCAUCAUCAUGUUAACCAUUAGAUAAUCAGAAC